rnacentral:rRNA from 1 species
UACGUAGGGUGCAAGCGUUAUCCGGAAUUAUUGGGCGUAAAGAGCUCGUAGGCGGUUUGUCGCGUCUGCUGUGAAAACUGGAGGCUCAACCUCCAGCCUGCAGUGGGUACGGGCAGACUAGAGUGCGGUAGGGGAGAUUGGAAUUCCUGGUGUAGCGGUGGAAUGCGCAGAUAUCAGGAGGAACACCGAUGGCGAAGGCAGAUCUCUGGGCCGUAACUGACGCUGAGGAGCGAGAGCAUGGGGAGCGAACAGG